rnacentral:tRNA from 1 species
GGCCAGGUAGCUCAGUUGGUAGAGCAGGGGACUGAAAAUCCCCGUGUCGGCGGUUCAAUUCCGUCCCUGGCCA